CUGCGCACAAAAUGGCCCGUGUGAAACACGCACUCUCGCCGCCACACACAUCACAGAUGUACCGCCGAGGGUUAUUCUGAAAGAAAUGAUUGUUGAUUCAUCUUCGCUGCCUCCUUCAAUUUUCUUUGGGCUCGUCUUCUCUCCCCGCAUGCCAAUCACGCUCGGUGCUUCACACGAUCAGGACGGGAAGUCGGCAUGUGCAGGCGCAUCCAUCCACGGCAACAUUCAAAACGCACGCCGCCUGAUCCCCGGAGCAGCAACGCACCGAAAACAACAACGCCACAACCCUUUACCCCCCCCCCUCCCCCACAUUGAAAUUGCCAACCGGCACGGUGGAGAGCAGAUUUCAGCAUCGCAGGCUGAUUCCACCAGCGAAGCAUCAAAACUUCGAAGCCGAAGGCUCUGCAUCCACAACAAACAGAGUCGAGUGCAGGAAACACAGAACCUGUCGUCUGCAGUCAGUGAAGCUCCGGUCCAGACUCCUGCACGAGGCCUCCUGCAGUAGCUUUGCUUACAGUGCCCCCUUCUGUCAUAUGAUACAACCAUAUAUACACAUUGACUCAUAUGCAUAUGUAUGUACACAGCACCAGUCAGUCAGGUGGGACACAUCUUCUCAUUGUGUCUCUCGACUGGUACUCUACAUCAUUUUUCUCUCUUCAAGUAUCUCAAUCGGUAUUUUGCAGGUUUUCACCUGACCUGACUAAAGUUGUGAGUGGCGCUUCGUUGCCCCCCCGCUCAUCUACCACAGUGGAAAAAUGUGGUGCUGCACAGGAAGCCAUGAGAUGCACUCGUGUGUAGGAGGUGCUGCUACGGUAGAAAAAGGGGGUAGCUCAGGAGUUUGGGUGCUUACUAC
ensembl:lncRNA